GCCACAUAAUAAAUAUGAUAAGCACCUCAAUUAGAUACUCUAGAAAGUCAUUAGCAUGAUAUUAGAACGAACUACAAGAAUAUUCCCUAAGUUAUUCUCAACUAUAUAGUCUAGCAUUAUCAUAAUUAGUGCAAGCAUACUUAGCAAUCAUUGCGAGACAAGACUACGCCCAUGCAUAGUGAUAUUAGCAAGGAAUAUGAGAAACAUAGCAAUCACUCCCCUGUAAUAAUGUUGCUCUGCCAGCCCAAUACACGAGAGAGGGACUAUAUAAGAAUCAAUGAAGCUGUCACUAUCACGAACCACCCCACGAUCUGGCAUAUUGGGUACAAUCGCAGAUAAAUACGGUAUAAGCACCACGCCUACACAAUAUCUAUCAUUUACCCAUGGAUCCGAUGGAUAAACGCUAUACGAUCCUAAGCAUGUAUAUAGAUCGAAUCUAACUAAGCCAAGUACAUAACUAUGAUAAACUAAGAACAAUAUAAUCUUGAAUAUAAGCAAGUAGAGCAAAGUCAUAAGCGAUAUAUUGAAGUAGAACAAAGUCAUAUUCAUAAUAUUGAAGAACAUAGAUAAUUAGAAAGUAAUUAGAAGCACAAUUAGAGAAUUACCAAGAAUCCUCCUGACAGAUCCGGAAACCAAUCGAAGAAUGACUCCUUCUAGUUCUAAUCCUAUGUAGCUAUGCUAAUCUAGAUAUCUAAUUGAUGUGGUGGCUCUAAUCUUGAUCAGAGGCUUCUUCUCCCUUGAAGAACAAUGAAUUAGGGUUGAGAGGCUCUCUCCUCCAGGGGCCAGGGGGUCUGGUUUUAUAGUCCCUUCAAGUGAAUUUGGGCCGUUGGAUCAAACCGACAUAGAUUGUAUGGUUUAGAUUCAUCCUUUAGGUCGGUGGAGAUCUCCCGCGAAGCAGAGUCCUGAUUGGACUCCUGGAGAGGGCGGGCGCCCAGGGGAACAGGGCGGGCGCCCUGCCUCUGGCCCCGUUUCGCCUCCGCUUCGGUCUCGUGGCUUCUGGAGUCUUCUAGAUGUAAGAUAAUUGCGCGGCACGUUAAUAUCUUUACGUAAUCCCGACGUGUGGGCCUUUCUUCCGUAUUUCCUGAUAACCCCCUGCAGAAAUAGACAAACACCAAAACUCGUGGAAUUCUGUCAGAUAAAACCCUAAGUCUAGAUGUUGAUUUCAUUUGGAUCCUUUUCUUUAUUUAUUUGAUAAUUAAAUUUGAUACUUAAGGACCGUCAACAAACUCCCCCAAGCUUACCUCUUGCUCAAGACUCAGCUAUGGAUCAUAAGUUGUUGCAAUAUUUUUUAAAAAUUGAUGGUACACAUGCUUUUUAAAUAAGAUCUCAUCUCUGAGUUAGAGGAAACUAUCAAGACUUAAAACUUACUUACUUUACCUUCUACCAUGGGACUUGUAACCGUCACUUCUGUCUUGAGUAGUUAAAAGAUAGAACAGUCUAGUCAAGUGCCAUGUCUCUUAUUCUUGAUCAGCUAUAGCUCUGGAGUUUUUUUGCAGAUUUUCAAAUAAGACUCAGAGAUUCCUUGUAUGACUCUCUCAGGUCUCUCUUUUGUGGUAUUUCUGGAUCCUUACCACGGCAGUAAUGGUAUAUGCCUUCUCUCAAUAUAUGUAGUAUUUGUGGUAUAAAGCAUAGUGACAUUGCCUUCUCUCUCACCCUACUCUAAUAAGGCUUUAAUAUCUGGAGCUCAUAGGUGGGAGAUAAAUUAUACAUACUUACAAGACAUGUAUUAGAUAGUCAAACCAUGGAUCCAAAGAAACAAGCCAAUGAGUUUAAUCAAGAUGUGCAUGUGUGGCGAAUGAAUGGUGUAUGGUGAUGAUGGUGAUAACAAUGGUGAAAACAAUGGUGGUGGAAGUCUAAUUCUACUUUGCUCUUUGAGGGGAUACAUACCUUCCUUGCUUUUUGAAACUUUAUGAGGAGAAUGAGAUGCUCUUCUUUUUCUUUUUCUCUCAGGUGGGUAUCUUGUACCCCUAAUUCUACUGUCGGACACUUUUCCAUUUUUACCUCUCGUCUCACUCUCUCUUUUCUUUCGAGGUUCCGAGCACUUGCUCCUUUUUAUUUCCUCGUAUUUCUCUCUUUUUUUUUCUUUUUCUUUUUUUAGAGCAUUCAUCUCUUGAGAUAAUAUAGCAAGUGGUAGUAACAAGAUAACUUGAGCAUUUAUUUCACAAGGGAAAACAGAAAUAUUUUUGGCUAUUCUCUCCCAGAUUAGGAGUAGAAUAUUUUUGGGUGAUUCUGGAGAUGGAAUGGGUGGAUAUAUGUGGAUGGUACUUCCGGAGUAGAAGUAGCAUAUAUGAGUGAACGUGCAAGUGAAUCUUGAUUUAACCACAUGACAAGUUCCUAAGGGUCUACACAGCUUGACCACACUCAAUGCUCAUAAGCAGUAAAUAGUAAAUGUGUGGCUCAAAGUCUAGCAAGCAUGUAUAUAUGGCUGUGGUAGGAAUUUAAACUCUCAUCAUACAGGAACUCAUCAUGCAAUAUUUUAAAGAUUUUCAAAGAUAAAAUUCUCCAGAAAUCUAGCAUCUCUAGGAACAGAUAAACAGCAGCUCAACCUUCCCAUAUCGUAUCCAUUAACAACUUAGACUUCAGAUCAAGUUUUCAUCCCACAAGUUUAGGUCUAGAGCAAGCCUUAAAUUAUAACAGCUAUGUCUAAACUUAAGAGAGAACUUAAAAUGUGCAAAUUAGGCAGAGCAACUAUUCAUCAUAUCCAUGCUUAAGUUUUAUUUAGAUACAGAUUAGCAUCGCCACUUUAUUUAUUUAUUUAUUAAACACACUAAGCAAAAGAUAUAUAUAAGCUUAAAAUCUUUAUUUGGUUUUUUCAUAGUUAUGUAUAUUUAAUAUUCUAAUAUAAUAUAAGUAUAAAGAUAGAUAGAAAUACUUAUCGAGAUAAAUGGAGGUGCUCUCCCCCAAGUUGAAUUUUGACGUAAUUUCUCUUGAUGUAGCUAGCAGGUGGCAGAGGUGUAUUUGAAAGUCAGCAGCAUUCUGACAGCGAUUAGAAUGUCCUCUGUCUGCUAGUCUUCUUGAUUCUUAAAUUCUGCGGAGCUCAAAUAGACAACAAAGCUUGUGGAACUGAUUAAGUGUUAGCAUAAAUAUCUAGCCUUUAUCAUCUUGAGACUCCUUAAUAAUUAUUACUCCCUGUUUUUUUAUUUUUAUUUUAUAAAGCAAAAAAGAAAUUUUUAUUUUAUUUUUAUGCCACCACAGUGAAUGUACUUAUGGGUUUUAUGCCACUCGCAUACUCACAUGGGGCUUACUGUUUUUCGCAUUUUUAUUUUCUUUUAUUUUUAAGAUAGUACGAACAUGAUUAACUAAGUAAACUAAUUGAAAUAAUUGAUAGGGAAAGGAUAACUACCAAGUUUACCUCUCGGCAAGGCGUUCGGUGUUUUUAAGUCCUCCGAACGGGACUCUCCAUUUUCUUUAAUCGUCCUGAGGUUCGUCGGGUGGCGUAGUCGGUACUUCCGGCAGCGCCUCCUCUUCGUGUAUAGUUAUCUUCAUUUCCACACCUGACUUGGUGCUUCUGUCUCCUCUGGAUAAUUCUGUUUAAACUCUACGUUUUCUGACCUUAUAACUUCUCCUUCAUAGUCUGCCCAUCCGUCCUUGAUGAUCUACCUCCUCUGGUUGCGGUUACGUCUUUUCCUUACCUGCUUAGAUUCUUCAACGAUAUAGUUAGGGUCAGUAAAAUAACGGCGUACCUUCUCUGAGGGGAAGUGCAUAUGGACUUCUCCAGUUCCAAUGUAGAUAUUUGCUUUAACGGUGCUGAGGAACGGUCUUCCAAGGAUGAUGGGUGGAUCGUACUCGUCUUCUCCCAUGUCAAUAACUUGAAAGUCUGUGUAGACAAAGUGAUCGUCUAUUUUGACUGGGACAUCAGUUAUUGUUCCUUUAACUUCUCGAUAUGUCUGAUCUGCCAUCUGGAGCUGAAUGUAUGUUGGUCUUAGUGGCAUGGUUCUAAACAAGAGCUGAUAGGUGACUACGGCCAUUAUGUUGACGCCCGAUCCGGUGUCAUAAAAUGUCUUGUAGAAGUUGUAUCCAUUUAUGGAGCAGUAAAUGCUUGGCAUUCCUGGGUCGUCCUUCUUGGUCAAAAGCGGUGACUUAAGUUGGUGAUCUUGGCCUCCAUGAACUACAGUGACCAUCUUAGCUGACUCGGUCCACACUUGCUUGUUCCUAUUCCUCCUGUUGGUCCUCUUCCUUGAUUCACGUCUAGAUUGAUCUGGAAUUUGUGUAGUCUUGUUCUUGAAGAAAAAUGUCUCCUUCCUCCCUUUGACGUAGAAACCGAUCUUAGCAGCACUGGCGUAGAUGAUAGCUCCCGUGGUGUUCAAGAAUGGCCUCCCUAAGAUGAUAGGUGCUCUCUCAUCAUUUCCGGUCUCUACCACUACGAAGUCUGCUGGGGCAUAUAAGGUACCAACUCGGACACAAAGGUUCUUCACUAUUCCUUUUGGAAAAGUUAUCGUCUGAUCUGCAAACUGCAAACACAUGGUUGUUUCUAAUAAAGGAUAUGUAAAUAAUUUUUCAUAGAGUACCCUGGGUAUAAUAUUGACACUGGAGCCAAAGUCGCAGAGUGCUUCUGGAACGUCCACCAUGCCGAUAGAGAUCGGGAUGACGGGGCGUCCUGGAUCGCCUCUCUUGACCGGCAGAAGGUCAGUAGAAAAUUCAGUGACGGGGUUACUCCAAUUACCUGCAUCAAAUGUGUCUACAAGAUUUGUAGAUUCUAAUCCUUCCGGUUGUGAUGGUAUACCGGGGUUAGUAGUAGGAACAGCAGCAGCUAUUUGAUUUAACUGAGAUUCAAUCAUUUUAUUAAAGCUAAUUUGAUUCUUGAUGGCAGUAGAGAAAUUAUCCAUUCUAUUAUUUAUAUUUUCUAGCAUUUUAUCAUUAGAUGCCAAUUUCUUAGAUAGAUUAUCCAUUAGCUUUCCUUGAUUAGACACUAAAUCUCUCAAAGGUGAAAAAUUAUUAUUAUUGUUGUAAGAAUUGUUACCUUGAUAAUUACCUGAGUAGUUAGGCCUCUGUUGAUUCCAACCUUGAUUUUAUUGAGGACGGUUGUAGUUGUUGUUGUUGUUGUUGUUGAUGUAGUUCACAUCCUCAAGUAUCUCAGGGCAGUGAUUGCCUGAGUGUCCAGUGUCUCCACACUCCUCACAAGUCAUGUGAGAGUCGUAGAUGUGCAUAACUUCUUUCUUGUCUCCAGCUCUAUCAUCGAGCUUCUUCAUGAGCAGGUCUAGCUUUGCAGACAGCAUGUCUACCUCCUUCAGCUGAUGCAUACCUCCACCUCUCUUGCGUGUCUGGGUCCUCUCUUUAUUCCAGCUUUGGUUGGACGCCAUCUUCUCCACAAGAGUUGUGGCUUGUGGUAUAGUAAGUGAUAAGAAUGCUCCUCCAGCUGCAGCAUCCAUGGUCUCUCGGGCACUGUUGCCGAGCCCAUGAUAAAAUGUCUGCAUUAGUAGCCAACUCUCCAUUCCAUGAUGGGGACAUUCUAGGAUGUAGUCUUGAAAGCGCUCCCAUGCUUCUGGAACAGAUUCAUCAUUUUGUUGCUGAAAACUUGUAAUCUUCGCACGGAGAGCAUUGGUCUUGCCCAUGGGAAAGAACUUUGCCAGGAAGUUUGUUGAGCAGAGUGCCCACGUAGUAUUCUUCUCCUUUGUAGCGUAGAACCACUGCUUCGCUCUUCCUAACAGUGAGAAUGGGAAGAGGUGAAGUAGUAUAGCAUCUUUGGAAACUCCUGAUAUGCUGAAUGUGUUGCAAAUCUCUAGGAAGUGUUGUAAAUGAGCACUAGCAUCUUCGUGUGCCUUCCCACAGAACUGGUUAGAUUGCACCAUGUUGAUAAGUCCAGGCUUGAGCUCAAAGUUGCCAUCGAUCUCUGCAGCAGGUCCAGUACGGAUGUUGUCCGUAGUGGGAGCUGAGAACUCGCGGAUUGAUUUGUUUGCCAUGGCUUCGAACUCUGAAGACAAGUUCCGGUGAUCUUCUUGAUUAGAUGAAGCUUCUUGCUGAAGUGUUGAUGAUUUCUUUAGCUUGACUCUCGUCUUCUUGAAUAAUGCUUCGGGAUUGUCAACAAAAUUUCCUGGAAGAUGUCUUCUAUUCAUACAUUCCCCUGCAUAAGAUGAAAUGGGAAAAUAUCGGGGUAAAACUGUAUGAGAGAAUAGAUAAGCUCAAUCAUAUUAGUGAUGCGAAUGAUAACUCAAAAUCUUUUAUUCUAUUCCUGAUUAGUAAUCAACCUUCCCCGGCAACGGCGCCAAAAAUGCUUGUUGGGUAUUCUUAACAUCAUUACCAAAAGUAGACUAAGUUCUCUAAAUCUAGUAACGGUGCCAAAAAUGCCAAACCUAUCCCUCACACUACUUAAGCCAAGUUGUCAUCCCCAGCAUGAUAUAAGAGACGCGGUAUUGAAAUAUGCAAUUGCUCUUCUAAAUAAAUAAUGAAUGGGAUCUGCAAGCGCACAGAUUAAUACCGAUGUAGCAUUUUAACCGGGAAGUAUUCCAGGUAUCGUUAUUUAUAUUUUUACCACUGGGAAGGGAUUAGCAAUCAUCAAUAUUGAUUACAGAAUAGAAUAUGAGAUUGAGCAUCUAUCAUUGCAUGUAUAAUUGAGAACAUUAUAUCUAACUCAUCAUACAGGGAUAAGUGUCACAUAAAAGAUAUAUGAAAUAAUAAUAGUGACAAGGAUAAUUAAUCUGAUCUAGCCACAUAAUAAAUAUGACAAGCACCUCAAUUAGAUACUCUAGAAAGUCAUUAGCAUGGUAUUAGAACGAACUACAAGAAUAUUCCCUAAGUUAUUCUCAACUAUAUAGUCUAGCAUUAUCAUAAUUAGUGCAAGCAUACUUAGCAAUCAUUGCGAGACAAGACUACGCCCAUGCAUAGUGAUAUUAGCAAGGAAUAUGAGAAACAUAGCAAUCACUCCCCUGUAAUAAUGUUGCUCUGCCAGCCCAAUACACGAGAGGGGGACUAUAUAGGAAUCAAUGAAGCUGUCACUAUCACGAACCACCCCACGAUCUGGCAUAUUGGGUACAAUCGCAGAUAAAUACGGUAUAAGCACCACGCCUACACAAUAUCUAUUAUUUACCCAUGGAUCCGAUGGAUAAACGCUAUACGAUCCUAAGCAUGUAUAUAGAUCGAAUCUAACUAAGCCAAGUACAUAACUAUGAUAAACUAAGAACAAUAUAAUCUUGAAUAUAAGCAAGUAGAGCAAAGUCAUAAGCAAUAUAUUGAAGUAGAACAAAGUCAUAUUCAUAAUAUUGAAGAACAAAGAUAAUUAGAAAGUAAUUAGAAGCACAAUUAGAGAAUUACCAAGAAUCCUCCUGACAGAUCCGGAAACCAAUCGAAGAAUGACUCCUUCUAGUUCUAAUCCUAUGUAGCUAAGCUAAUCUAGAUAUCUAAUUGAUGUGGUGGCUCUAAUCUUGAUCAGAGGCUUCUUCUCCCUUGAAGAACAAUGAAUUAGGGUUGAGAGGCUCUCUCCUCCAGGGGCCAGGGGGUCUGGUUUUAUAGUCCCUUCAAGUGAAUAUGGGCCGUUGGAUCAAACCGACAUAGAUUGUAUGGUUUAGAUUCAUCCUUUAGGUCGGUGGAGAUCUCCCGCGAAGCAGAGUCCUGAUUGGACUCCUGGAGAGGGCGGGCGCCCAGGGGAACAGGGCGGGCGCCCUGCCUCUGGCCCCGUUUCGCCUCCGCUUCGGUCUCGUGGCUUCUGGAGUCUUCUAGAUGUAAGAUAAUUGCGCGGCACGUUAAUAUCUUUACGUAAUCCCGACGUGUGGGCCUUUCUUCCGUAUUUCCUGAUAACCCCCUGCAGAAAUAGACAAACACCAAAACUCGUGGAAUUCUGUCAGAUAAAACCCUAAGUCUAGAUGUUGAUUUCAUUUGGAUCCUUUUCUUUAUUUAUUUGAUAAUUAAAUUUGAUACUUAAGGACCGUCAACACAGGGCGGACAAUGCGGUCGGGGUGGUCGUCACGGCUGAAGGUGUCGGGGGUGUCGAACCAAUCGAGAUACUAGGGCACCACCAUCCGAGCUGGAAAGACCUCCUGGCAUUCCCUCUUGCACUGUCGAGACGUGAGCUGCAUCGUGGGUCCGCCGUAGAUUAUGUAACAGUCAUGAACCACAAGGAAUUUGUUGUCAUCCUUGCUGCCGCCCUAUCGUCACCCUUGUCCUUAUUCUGGUCAUCCUUCUUGAUGCCCAAGCUAUCGAAAUACUUCUUCAGCAUGUGGCAAUCCUCGAGUUUGUGGUUGGCCCCUCCCUUGUGAUAAGGGCAGGGAUCCUUCAGCAUCUUGUCAAAGAUAGCUCCCUUCAGGGGGCCUCGAGGCUUCAUGCGCUUGACCACGGUGAUGAAGCCAUCGUCGAUGGCCUCGUGUUUAUUCUGCUGCGUCUUCUUCUUCUUGUUGUUGCUCUUUUUGGGUCCUCUACUCGGGCCCUCGUCAUCACCUACUUGUGCCUUUCCCUUGUCAUUCUUGUUGCUGAAGAAUGCUCCAACCGCCUCUUCUCUGGCUGCAUAAUUGGCCACCACGUCCAUCAACUCAUCGACAGUCUACAGGCGAUUACGCCCUAACUCUCGCACCAGAUCCUUGCACGUGGUGCCCAACACAAACGCUAAGAUGACAUCAUGGUCAGGGAUGUCUGGGAGCUUCAUGUGCUGCUUGGAGAAGCAUCGAGUAUUCUCGUGGAGGGAUUCCCCAGGCUUCUUCUUGCACUUGCUGAGAUCCCACAAAUUGCCGGGGCGGACGUAGGUUCCCUUGAAGUUCCCCUCGAAAACCUAGACUAGGUCAGCCCAGUUGUGGAUUUGGUUGAGGGGAAGUUCCUCAAGCCAUCUGCGAGUGGUGUCAGAGAGGAAGAGUGGUAGUUGGUGGACGAUGGUGCGGUUGUUGUUGACGGUUCUUAAGUAUUAAUUUUAAUUAUCAAAUAAACAAGAGAAAGGACCAAUAUGCAACCAACACCUAGAAUUAGGGUUUGAUCUGACAGAAUUCCACGAGUUUUGUUGUUUAUCUGUUUCUAUAGGGGGUUAUCAGGAAAUAAGGAAGAAAGGCCCACAUGUCGGGAUUACAUAGAGAUAUCAACGCACCGCGCGAUUUUCUACCAUCUAGAAGACUCCAGAAGCCACGGGAAGGAAGCAGAGGCCGAACGGAGCCAGGCCCUCUGUUGGAUGCCAAUCAGGACUCUUUUCGCACACGACGUUCCACCGACCUAAAGGAUCAAGGAUAACCGUCCAAUCAAUGUCGGUUUGAUCCAAUGGCUCACGUUCACUUGAAGGGACUAUAAAACUAAACCCCCUUGCCCCUGGAGGAGACAAGUUUAUCAUAGAGUUGAGGGGAGCCCUCGAAGGAAAACCUCUUCUCUAAAUAAAAUUUCUUUUUAGGCUUAGCAACCAAUGUGAGUAGAAAUAGAUCUUCUAGUUUCUACUAGAUUGAGAGAGUUAGAGUGGAGGUGUAGAUUGGAGGAAGCCCAGCCUGUCGGUGUCUACUCCAAGUUUGUACCUGCGGGAUCAAGUUCUCCUAACCCGAAGCUUGCUCCUAGGAUUCUUCAGUAUUUCGACUUCUAAAUUCUAGUAAGUUCUUGUUUUAUUGUUCUUUUGGUUUAUGAGUUUACUUUAAUCUCUUCGCGUAGAGUUUAGAGUAAUCAUUGCUAGCGUAAACGUGGUGUUUAGGCUAGGGUACUCAUAGAUAUUCCCUGACUAGCUGGACCGUGGUAGUAGCAAGGAACGUGACAUUUCCGAGUUACCUUUGAAGACCAUAACUCGUUAGCAGGAAGGAUAGGGUUUAUAGGUGCGGGUUGAACAUCCUCUGUGGUGUCUAGAUUCCGUUAGCCUCUCCAAUAGAACAUUAGAUCAUCCUUACCAAGGUUAGAAGGAGACUACGGUUGCAGUCUUCUCUAUUUAUCACUCACAUCGAGAAACAUUCUUUGUUGCCUAAAGGGUUAGUAGUAAUAGACCGGGUUAGUCAGAUGCACUCUUUCUCCUAGUGGUCAAAAUAUAAAUACAAUACUCUGGAUAACCUCCUGGGUGAAGUGCUCAUCGAUAUCCGUGCGCUUGCGGAUCAAUUCCUUAUUGCGUUCCCAAAUAUCAACAGUUGUCUCCUCGAGCUCCACCUUGUUGGCAUGCUAGCCGAAAUUCUGCUAGCCACAGCUCGAGCUUGGUUUCGCCGUUGUAUUAGGCCAUGCUCGUGGGAGGGCGAAAGGUUUUGGGCAGCAGCAUGCUGCGGAUCGCCCUGCUUAAGACUCAAGGCCCUGGUGGCUCGGGGGGCCCUCCGGUCCUCAUCGUUGUUAAAACUGUUGACACUUGCUAACACCACUUGAAUACUAGGUUGUCAUCCCCAGCAUGGCACUAGAGUGUACUAUGUUAUUUAUACGCACACAGAUAAAUCCGCAAGCGCAUGGAUACCGUUGUAGCUUUUACCCGGCUAAAGGUUUUAUCGUAUCCACAGGGAAAUGGGAGAACUGAUCAACGUAGAUAGAUAGGUUGGUGUAAAUAGGAAAGAUGGUAGAAUUGAAUAAGAACAAUAUUAAAGGUAAGAUAACAAUGGGUGAUAAUAGGGGAAUAGAGAGUAGAGCAAUCUAAUAUAUGGGCGAUGGUAGGAGAACAGAGAGGAUAACUAUGGUUUCUCUACUUCAAAGGGGUAUGUCUAUGUCUGGGACGAACCACGUGAUAAGAUUACACCACAAAGGAUGCUUAUCCAUAGGCCGAUAAACCCUACCAGUCCUGCUAACGGGAGGUGGACUACAGAGGACCAACGUACCUGUCACCCACGUGGCCUACCACACGAUUCGGCUAACAGGGGAUAUCCACAAGUAAUCUAGGUCUAAGCACCACACUUACACCUAUACUACAACUCUCACCUAUAGCGUCCUAUCACUACAAGAGAUGUGUGGCUUUUUGACGUAUUUAGUGUGACGAUGGGUCAUUAUGUCACUAUAUUAUCUAUUUUUUGACGUUAUUUUCUAGAAAUUUCAAUUUAGUGACCUUUGAAAAUUGUACGUCACAAUAUAUGUCAGACACCUAUUUUAAGUUCAUUUAGUGACACUAUUUUCUACGUCAUGAGGCCAAUUUUAUAGUGUUACGAGCCUUUGACAAAGAUUUUGUGUCAUAAAAAUAUUCAUUAAAUUAUUUUAAAUAAUAUCUAUCCUUAUGGUCUUCAUGACUCCUAUGGUUUGGUCAUCUUGGUGAAAUGCUAGGAUCCUCAUGAGACUGGAAAGGAGAGGGAUAAGAGAGAUCUCUAAGAUCAAGGAUGGAUUUAGAACUUGUGAACAUGGAAGGGGAGCAAAUAGAAUUUUCUAUAUGUCUUAGCUCUCCUUCACUUGAUAUGUCAUCCUCGACUUGUUCAUAAUAGGAACCAGGACAUUCUCUAAGAGAACCAUCAUUGCAAGGAUUUGAAUUAUCUAUGCUUGAAAGUCUCUUAUGGAACGAGAAGUCUAAACCAUCAGUAUCUGAAAGAUUUAAGGUCAGAAUUCCUUCUUCCCUUGGAGAAUUUUGGGGUAUGAUGGUUUAGGAUCGAUAGCUAAAGUUUGGGAUUGAAGUGGUUGUGAUAUGGCUAUCAAAACUUCUUCUUGUUGUCUAGGAACUGGUUCUUUCUCUUUCUCAGGGAUAUAAAUGCUAGGAAACUUUCCACUCAAUGAAUCAAUUAAAUCCCUAGCUUCACUAGCAGGUUGGUGAUAGAAGGAUCCUCUAGAGGCUGUAUUCAAGGUUUGCUUAUUUUCCCUACUAAGGCCCUCAAAAAAGUGAAUUAGAAGAACUUCUUCUAGAAUAGAAAGCUUUGGGCCAGUGAGAGUAAGGUUAAUAAAGCGGUCCCAUGAUUUGCCAAGAGAUUCUUCUUCUAGUUGUCUAAAAGAAAUAAUCUCACGCCGAAGUUCUGCCACUUUGGGGAUUGGAAAAUAUUUAAAAAGAAAACUAUUAUAUAACUCCUUCCAAUCUCCAUGAACACUCCCUACUUUGAGUUUGUACCAAUGUCUAGCUUUUCCUGUUAAAGAGAACGGAAAGAGCUUCCAUUUAAGGGUCUCAUCGGACAUGCCUUCUAUGCGAAGGAGGUCACAGACUCGAUAAAACUCUCUUAGGUGUGUGUAUGGGUUUUCUUCACCUUCUCCUGAGAAAGGUUGUUUUUGAACAAAUUCUAUGUAUUCGGGGUCUAUCUCAAAACUAGAUGCUAUGAUAGGUUUUGAAGAUUUUGGUGGUUCGAGAUGUGUGCCCGUAGGUCUAUGAAAUUCAUAGAUAUACAUGUUUGCAUUCAUGAUAGACCAGAGAUCAAGGAUUAGAUAAGAAGAAAGAAUAGCAGAGAUAAGGCAAAUGAUAUGAAAAGUAUAUUUUUUUUAUUUUUUAGAAAAUGAUUAAGCUAGUUCGUAGUCAACUCAGCAUCCCUCUCCCCGGCAACGGCGCCAAAAAUUCUUGUUGACACUUGCUAACACCACUUGAAUACUAGGUUGUCAUCCCCAGCAUGGCACUAGAGUGUACUAUGGUAUUUAUACGCACACAGAUAAAUCCACAAGCGCACGGAUACCCUUGUAGCUUUUACCCAGUUAAAGGUUUUAUCAUAUCCACAGGGAAAUGGGAGAACUGAUCUACGCUCUAACUUAACCUAGAUAGAUAGGUAGGUGUAAAUAGGAAAGAUGGUAGAAUUGAAUAAGAACAAUAUUAAAGGUAAGAUAACAAUGGGUGAUAAUAGGGGAAUAGAGAGUAGAGCAAUCUAAUAUAUGGGCGAUGGUAGGAGAAUAGAGAGGAUAACUAUGGUUUCUCUACUUCAAAGGGGUAUGUCUAUGUCUGGGACGAACCACAUGAUAAGAUUACACCACAAAGGAUGCUUAUCCAUAGGCCGAUGAACCCUACCAGUCCUGCUAACGGGAGGUGGACUAUAGAGGACCAACGUAGCUGUCACCCACGUGGCCUACCACACGAUCCGGCUAACAGGGGAUAUCCACAAGUAAUCUAGGUCUAGGCACCACGCUUACACCUAUACUACAACUCUCACCUAUAGCGUCCUAUAGAUUAAAGUACUCAAAAGUGUUGUGAACCAGAACAUACAUGGAUAGUAAUUGCAUAAUGAAAUAGAAGUAGAUUACUAGAGUCAUCCCAUGAGCAAGCUUGAUUAGAGCUUGAUCAUGGCGAAGUACAACCAGAGGAAGAACUGACAGGCCAGCCUCUCCUCCAAUCCUCCCUCGCUCUCCAUCUCGCUACUAUUUAGAUCUACUCUAGUUUAGAGAUGAGAGGAGAGCUCUCAUCUCCAAACCCUAGCUUUUGCUCUAUCUAUGAAUAAUGAAUAAGGAUGAAGAAGUUGUCUCCUCUAGGGGCUAGGGGGCCUGCUUAUAUAGUCCCCUCAAGUGAAUCUGGGCCGUCGGAUCAAACCGACAUUAAUCGCACAGUUUUCCUUGAUCCUUUAGGUCGGUGGAGCAUGAUCCGCGAAGUAGAACAUGAUUGGCCGAAACACAAGGGCAGGCGCCCAAGGGGGGAGGGCGGGCGCCCUGUCCCCGAGCCCGCUCAGCUUCCCGUUCGUUCCUGUGGCUUCUGGAGUCUUCUAGAUGAUAGAAAAUUGCGGGGCACGUUAAUAUCUCUAUGUAAACCCGACAUGUGGGCCUUUCCUCCAUAUUUCCUAAUAACCCCCUGCAGAAAUAGACAAACACCAAAACUUGUGGAAUUCUGUCAGAUAAAACCCUAAGUCUAGGUGUUGGUUGCAUUUGGAUCCUUUUCUUUAUUUAUUUGAUGAUUAUAUUUGGUACUUAAGGACCAUCAACAAUAACGCCCACCACGGUAUGCGUUGUAACCUCGUUCCUCGGUGUCCCCAUGCUUCCAUCGACCAUGCUCGUUGAUGUUGUGGGACGCAUCGUGUGGUUCAUGGUUGUCGAUGAUGCGCUCCCGGAUUGGCGCUGCCUUCUUGCCUCGAGGGGACACUUCCUGAUGGAUGGAAACCUCCCUCUCAUGGUGUGCUGGCUCGACGUGUCGUUUUGAAGCCAACCCUUGAUGCCUAGAGGCUGAGCUCUCGGCCUGCUGUGCCACCGCGACAUGGAGCAAACCCCGAACCUCAUCCCAUAUGCGGCGUGCUUGGGGAUUCGAGAGUUCAGGCAUGUUGCGUAGGAGCAUUGUUGCUGCCAUGAUGUUUUGACCUACUCGAGGGAAACGGUUGAUGAGGCACUCUGGUUCCCCAUCUUCAAUGAUCUGUCGAAAGACGUCUUGAGCUCGUCCUCUAGCUCCACCACCGUGCGGAGGCGCUUGGUCCUGCUCAAGAGCUUGUUCUAGCUGGUUCAGCCGCUCCCAGUCCUCGUCGAGCUUGGCCUUUAGCUCUCAUAGUUGUGCGAGUUGUGCAGCCUUGUCUUCCUGGGGAAGGGGUGGGUCCGGCCACCCCUCUUGUUUGGGAGUUCUGGGUUGCCUCCCGCUGCUGGUGCGGCAGCGGCGGCGCCGGCUUUGCCAUCAUCCUCGGUGUCAUCGUUAGAGGCAACGGCUCCAUCCACGAUGUUGAAGCAUUCCCAUGUGGGGUCGUAGCUAUCGGACUCAGAGUCAGGGUCGGGUUCCGCGGUGGUGUAGAAGCAUCUCUGCCACUCCGCCAACUGCUGUCUCAGUGUGGUGAGGGUGUAUCGUCCAGGUCCAAGAGCUCGAGGCCUGUGUAUCUGCGGGAAGCUCGAGUUCUCGACUGGCGACGGGGUUGCCCUCUAUGUCAUCGUGUUGCACGGGAGAGUCAGUGGCCACUCCGCGUGCACACUAGUGCUAGGACAGGUUAGCACGGAGUAGGUUACCGCCGCAUUGUUGAGGCCGAACGGGAGCAGACGCCGGUCAGCAAAUAGCCCAUGCAGCAGCAGGGCGGAUAGUGGUGAGGUCACAUGUUCCAUCGCCAUGGAGUUGGGCUCCCUCGACGCCACAAAGCAGCGAUUGCCGUUGCAGCUUGCUGGCCCAUUCGCGAUCCCCGAGCGCAGGCGAGACGGGUGUUGAUAUUUGUUAACGCCAUCAGGAAUUGAUCUACAAGCGCACGGAUAUCGGUGAGCCGUUGACCUGGGAGGUUAUCCAGAGUAUCGUAUUUAUAUUUUUACCACUGGGAGAAAGCGUGCAUCUGACUAGCCAAAUCUAUUGCUACUACCCUUUAGGCUACAAACAAUGUGAUUUGAUGUGAGCGAUGUAUAGAGAAGACUACAACCACACUCUCGUUCUAACCUUGGUAAGGAUGAUCUACUGUUCUAUUGGGGAGGCUUACAGAAUCUAGACACCACAAACGAUGUUCGACCCGCACCUAUAAACCCUACUGAUCCUACUAACGGGAUGUGGGCUACAAAGGUAACUCAAAAAUGUCAUGUUCCUCGCUACUACCACGGUCCAGCUAGACAGGGGAUAUCUAUGAGUACCCUAGCCCAAACACCACGUUUACGCUAACAAUGAUUACUCUAAACUCAACCGGAAGAGAUUAAAGUAAACUCAUAAACCAAAGAACAAUAAGAACAAAGAACUUACUAGAAUUUAGAAGUCGAAAUACUGAAGAAUCCUAGGAGCAAGCCUAGGGUUAGGAGACUUGAUCCCGCAGGUACAACCUCGGAGUAGACACCGACAGGCCGGGCUUCCUCCGAUCUACACCUCCACUCUAUCUCUCUCAAUCUAGUAGAACUAGUUCUACUCUUACAUUGGAUGCUAAGCCCUAUGAGGUGGGAACCCUAAGGAACAUCUCUCUCUGAAUCCUCUCUAGAAAAUAUGCUAAUGAAUAAUGAGGAUUGCCUCCUCUAGGGGCCAUGGGGGCCUGCUUAUAUAGUCCCCUCAAGUGAAUCUGGGCCGUCGGAUCAAACCGACAUUAAUCGCACGGUUUUCCUUGAUCCUUUAGGUCGGUGGAGCAUAAUCCGCGAGACGGGACCUGAUUGGUCUGUGUAGCUGGGCGGGCGCCCAAGGGGGAGGGCGGGCGCCCUGCCCCCGGGCCCGUUCGGCCUCCCGUUCGUUCCCGUGGCUUCUGGAGUCUUCUAGAUAGAAAAUUGUGCGGCACGUUAAUAUCUCUAUGUAAACCCGACAUGUGGGCCUUUCCUCCAUAUUUCCUGAUAACCCCCUACAGAAAUAGACAAACACCAAAACUCGUGGAAUUCUGUCAGAUAAAACCCUAAGUCUGGGUGUUGGUUGCAUUUGGAUCCUUUUCUUUAUUUAUUUGAUGAUUAUAUUUAGUACUUAAGGACCGUCAACAAACUCCCCCAAGCUUACCUCUUGCUCAUCCCUGAGCAAGGGUGGACUCAAGAGUUUCUGCAGUGGUUUCAUGCCUUAAAAGUACACAUGCAUCCAAGCAAGAUCUCAUCUCUGAGUUAGAGUAAACUUUUAAGACUUAAAACUUACUCAUUUUACCUUUCACCAUGGGGCUUGCAACCGUCACUUGUGUCUUGAGCAGUUAAAAGAUAGAACGGUCAAGUCAAGCGUCAUGUCUCUUGUUCUUUGAUCAGCUAUAGCUUAGGAGUUUUUGUAGAUUUUCAAAUAAAACUCAGAGAUUCCUUGUAUGACUCUCUCAAAUCUCUCUUUUGUGAUAUUUCUGGAUCCUUUCCAAGGCAGUAAUGGUAUAUGCCUUCUCUCAAAGUAUGUGGUAUUUUUGGUAUGAGGCAUAGUGAUAUUGCCUUCUCUCUCACCCUACUCUAAUAAGGUUUUGAUAUCUGGAGCUCAUAGGUGGGGGAUAGAUAAUACAUACCUACAAAACAUUUAUUGCAUAGUCAAACCAUGGAUCCAGAAGAACAAGUCAAUAAGUCAAAUUAAGAUGUGCAUGUGUGGCGAGUGAAUGGUGUAUGGUGAUGAUGGUGAUAACAAUGGUAAAAGUCUAAUUCUACUUUUGCUCUUUUUAGGGGAUACAUACCUUUCUUGCACUUUGAAGCUUUUUGAGGAGAAUGAGAUGCUGUAUAUUUUCUUUUUCUUUUCUCUCAGGUGGGUAUCUUGUACCUCUAAUUCUACUGUCAGACACUUGUCCAUUUUUACCUCUUGUCUCACUUUUUCUUUUCUUCGAGGUUCCGGGCACUUGCCCCUGUUUAUUUCCUCAUAUUUUUCCUUUUCUCUUUUCUUUUUUUUCAGAACACUCACCCUCCUGGAAUAAUGUAGCAAGUUGUAGUAACCAAAAUAACUGGAGCAUUUAUUUCACAAGGAAUAACAGGGAUAGGAAAACAUUUUUGGCUAUUCUCUUCUAGGUAGGAGUAGAAUAAUUUUGGGUGGCUGUGGAGAUGGAAAUGAGUGGAUAUAUGUGGAUGCAUACUUCCGGAGUAGAAGCAACAUGUGUGAGUGAACGUGCAAGUGAAUCUUGAUUUUAACCGCAUGACAAGCUCCUAAGGGUCUACACAGCUUGACCACACUCAAUGCUCAUAAGCAGUAAAAGUAAAUGUAUGGUUCAUAGUCUAAUAGGCAUGUAUAUAUGGCUGUGGUAGGAAUUUAAACUCUCAUCAUACAAGAACUCAUCAUGUGUUAUUUUAAAGAUUUUUCAAAGAUAAUAUUCUCCAGAAUUCUAGCAUCUCUAGGAACAGAUAAACAGUAGCUCAACCUUCCCAUAUCAUAUCCGUUAACGACUUAGACUUUUGAUCAGGUACUCUUCCCACAAGUUCAUGUUUAGAGCAGGUUUAAAUUAUAACAGUUAUGCCUAAACUUGAGAGAGAGCUCAAACUUGAAAACUAGGUACAUGGCAGAGCAACUAUUUAUCAUAUCCAUGUAAGAGUUUAUCAUUGAAGUUCAGUUUGGCCUAGACACUUUAUUUAUUUAUUUAGCAAACUAAGCAAAGAUAUAUAUAAACACAAAAUUUUUAUUUAGGUUUUCAUGAUUAUGCAUCUUUUUAUUAUUUGAGUAAAGUAUAAACGUGAGUAGAAACACUUAGCUGGAUAAAUGGGGGUGCUCUCCCCCAAGCUGGAUUUUGACGUAAUUUCUUUUGAUGUAGCUAGCAGGUGGCGGAGGUGUAUUUGAAUGUCGGCAGCACCCUGACAGCGAUUACUAUGUCCUCCGCCUGCUAGUCUUCUUUGAUCCUUGAAUUCUGUGGAGCUCAAAUAGACAACAAAGCUUUAUGGAACUGGUUAAGUGUUAGCAUAAAAUCUCUUAGCCUUUAUCAUAUUGAGAUUCCUCCUAAUAAAUUUUAUUUAUUUAGCAGGAUCAUGCACUUAUUUUUUUUUAUAUUUUUAAUGUAAGAUGAAAACAUAUUUAUUUUAUGCCACCACAGUCAAUAUACCUAUGGGUUUUAAACCACAAGUCUACUCACAUGGGGCUUUAGAUUUUGUGAUGCAGUGCAACGAACAAAUAUUUUUUGUUUUCUUUUCUAAUGCUAAUGUGGAAAAGUAAAUAUGCUAAUGCAAGUGAUGGAAUAAAAAGGAAAAGGAAUGCAGUAAAGAUAAAUAUGGAUAAAUACUAAUUUUACCUUCCGCCAAGGAUCCAAUGUUUUAAGUCUUCUGAACAAGACUUCUCACCGUGUUCAUUCUUUAGGUGUGUCAUUUGAUUCAGGUGUGGACCAUGAUGUCUGCACCUCUUGAUAUGGUGUCACCCAUGUUCUUCGUUUGUCCAGCAGUUCGAGGUGCGGCGUUAGCAGCAUCCUGCUUAGUGUGUUUGUGCUCGUAGAUCCAAGCCCUUCGCUUGGCGGAAUCUGGAAGUUGUAAAACUCUUCAGGUUUUGCUCGAAGUGUACCUACUCAUAGCGACAAGGCAGAGAUCAAGUGCAUGGGCCCUGUUGAUGAAAAACACCAACAGAACCAAAAGUGUAUUUGUUCUUCUCUAACCUUAAGCAUAGUGAGCAAGACAAAGUUGAUGGAUAAGAUCAUGAGUGUAGCAUUUAAAACAUUAGUCAGAUCAGAUUGCUCGACCUAAUGGAAAGAUAAUCUAUCUAUAUUUAUGUUUUGUUUAUAUCUUCCAA
rnacentral:lncRNA from 1 species